UCUGACAGCUCUGCCCCAGUGGGAGCGGCCUCCCUCCCCCGUCACAGACGGGCAGCACGGAAGCCCACUCAGGUGCACCGGGGGGGGGGGGGGUCCUGCUUCCCGUAGACCCCACCUCGAAGGGCUGGAGGCCCAUCCUGGGCCCUCUGCCUGGGGGGCAUCCCCGACACUCAGGCUGAGGGGGGUGCCCAGGGAAACAGCAGCUGCUCCCCUUGAAACGAGUGCAGGCCUCCAGAAGAUUCUCGGGACGAGAGCCCACCCAUCUGGUCUUGUCCCCAGUUCUCCCUGCAGCUGAGAGCACUAUUCUUCAUCCACGGGCGGUUCCAGAACCCGAGAGAAUCCAGGUCCUAUACCCCAGCCACCGGCAGCCUUUGCGGCCCCAAGUGGUGCACGGCCCGGCCCCGACCUGCCCUCAGCCCUGGGGCUGAUGGCCACGAUGGCCCCGGCAGCCGGCUCCUGCCCAGAGGUUCCCUGGACACCUCCAGGGUACCAGACCUCAAGCCCCGGCUAGAGAUCGGGGCCCGGAGGAGAGAGUUCCCCUCCAAAUGCCACUCGGCCUGCUCCACAGCAGCAGCCCCCCCACCCCGAGUCACUCCCGCUGCGCUUUGAAGCCCACAUCACACGUAAUUCGCAUCAGCCAGCCGCGUCCCGCCUGCCAUGAAUCUCCACCAGAGGAGCCAGCCUGCCUGGAAAUUACCCCCAUUAGGCCUAAUUACAGGUGCUCACGGUGUAAUCCGUCUCGACAGGCUGGCAGGUGCUGGUCCUGCGCUGUAAGGAGAGCGGGAGGCGGGGGGUGGGGGGGGGUGACAGGGGUCUCUCUCACCUCCUCCCCGUUCCUCACCUUUCCUCCCCCCUCUCCCUGUGAAAGGCCCCGGGACUUGCCGCACAAGCUGUGUCCCCUGAGGGUGGCCCUCAUUGGUCCUCUCGGCUCCUGCCAGCUGUCCCCAAAUCAGUUCUCCAAAAUACCAUUGGGACACAUACCCAGGCUGCUUGGUGAAAAGGCAGCUGCCAGGGCCACACCCGGUCCUUUAAUAUCAGAUGCCAGGCCCAGGAACCUGCAUUUUAAACGCCUGCCCGGGCGAUUCUUGAGUAAGGGGGUGUGAACCGCCCGGGAGGCAGGCGGGGGUGGCGGGACCCCCGGAGGGGCUGAAGGCAGCAGGCGGGCAGGUUCGGGGACCACCUGUCAGUCUCCGCUUGGCAGAUCGGCAAAACCUUGGUUCCUUGACCCUUUUGUUAUUGUGAUUUUUUUAAAUUAACUCAUUCCCAGAAUUAAACAGACGUUGGAGCAAAACAAAUCAAAAAGGUCAAAAUAAAAAACAGUGAAAGGUAAGUUUUCCUCCCAUCCCGGACACCCAGGCCCUUCCCCAGGGCAGCGUCCGUUACCGAUUUCUUGUGUGUCCGACCGGAAAGAACCCACGAACCGAAGAGCACGUUCACUGACAGGCCCCCCCAACAGCCCGGCUCUGUUCUGCGGACGGAACAUAUUUCCACGUGCUCGCUGAGCUUAGCAAUGUCUCCUGCAGGCUGGGCCGGACCUGAGCCCUGGGGGUGGGCUUGCUGGACGCUCCCUCCUGGGAUCACUUUCCAAAUUACCGACUUGUGCCCCCGGGUCACCUCCUGGAGGAACCCGAUCGAAGACGGCCCGUGGCCUGGAGGGACUCACGGCAGAGACUGCCUCAAGCUGACGCUGAAGAACGGAGUGGAGGGCGUCACCCCCUCACUGCUCAGGGAGGUUCCAGGGGCUCAGCCACCUGGCAGGUCGACCUGCCCGUGUCCCUGACGACUACCGACGGGCGCAGGCUGUGACACAGCUGUGUUCUUCCGGGCAGCUAUGUUCUACUAGACAAACAUCGCCACCAGACAGGAGGAGGGAAGGACGAGGGUGUGGUCAUGAUCGCACGGUUCGUGAGAUCAAGCCCCGCAUCG